GGACGCAAAUCCAGGGAGAGCAAAAAUUGUGAUCUGUAAAAUGUCGGAGAUUUUGGACUUCGUUGCAGCUCAUAGAAUGAUAGAUACAAUGGAAUUUGUAUUUAGAGGUAUGUCCCAGCAAACGAGAAUGGAUUGAAAUGAAAUUUGUAUUUAGAGGAAAACUGCGGCUAUCGUCAAAUAAAAAUUUUUUUCUGGAGGGAGAGUGGCUUCAAUAUAUUUUCUUACUAAGGGCGCAAGAAAUUCUAGAUAUGUGUUUGCUCACUAAUUUAAUUGCUGUAAGAAUUCCUUUAAGUGAGUCAAAAGCGAGUGCGUGCAUACAAGAACAACAAAGUCCAUUUUAUAAGUUAAUAUUCUGCGUUGUUAGUUUUUUUUACGUAUAUGUGAUAAUUUAAUGACGAAUCAAGCAAAUAUGUAUGCAUUACGAGGCACGGAAAGUUUUGAUGAAUAGUGAGCACCAAUAGAUUAAUCUUUGUCUUUAAAAAUUGGUUAAAUUAAAAUUGACUUAUAAAUUAACCACUAUGAAAAAAGAUUUAUAGAA